rnacentral:rRNA from 3 species
CCUAAGGUGGGACAGAUGAUUGGGGUGAAGUCGUAACAAGGUAGCCGUAUCGGAAGGUGCGGCUGGAUCACCUCCUUU